rnacentral:rRNA from 1 species
CGAACGCUGGCGGCAGGCCUAAUACAUGCAAGUCGAACGGCUCUUCGGAGCAGUGGCGGACGGGUGAGUAACGCGUGGGAAUGUGCCCUUUGGUACGGAACAACACAGGGAAACUUGUGCUAAUACCGUAUGUGCCCUUCGGGGGAAAGAUUUAUCGCCAUUGGAGCAGCCCGCGUUGGAGUAGGUAGUUGGUGAGGUAAAGGCUCACCAAGCCUACGAUCCAUAGCUGGUCUGAGAGGAUGACCAGCCACACUGGGACUGAGACACGGCCCAGACUCCUACGGGAGGCAGCAGUAGGUAAUCUUGCGCAAUGGGCGAAAGCCUGACGCAGCCAUGCCGCGUGUAUGAUGAAGGUCUUAGGAUUGUAAAAUACUUUCACCGGGGAAGAUAAUGACGGUACCCGGAGAAGAAGCCCCGGCUAACUUCGUGCCAGCAGCCGCGGUAAGAC